rnacentral:lncRNA from 1 species
UUUUUUUUUUAAUUAUGUGGACAGCCGCGGUAAGCUUGUAAACUGAGUGUGAAUAUGAAUCAAACCUAUCAUUUUUACCUAUCAUGUACAAAACAACCAAAAUAAGAUUGCUAAAAUCAUUCCAAUGAAACCUCAUUAUUAUUCCUAAACUUUAGUUCUUCAAAAAAACAUAGUGAAUUUAGUUUCAAAAAAUACAAAAUGUUAUUUAAUUUACAUUAUCUUGUGAAUUUUAUUUUGUCAUCAAAUAUAAUUUUAAUUGCUAAUUUAGUAUUAUUAAAAACUAAAUCUAGAUUAUUUAUAUGUUUAAAGAUUAAAUUAUAAUUUUCAAUAUUUUUUGAAGAUCUAAAUUAAUCAUUGUAAUACUUUGAUUUAGGAUGUCACGUGUGAGGAAGAGAACAUUCUUUAUUUAGGAAAAUAAAACUUUGAUACUAUCACAGUAUAGAAAAAAUUUAAACUUUAUAUUAAGUUAUCUUGAAAAUAAAUAAAAACAUGCGAGAAUAAUAAUUAAUCCAAUUACAACUUGAAAUAACAUACUAACCUCUUUAUAAUUUGUUUAAAUAAAAACAAACAACCUUUUGAAAACUCCAAAAAUAAUUCUCCACUCGUCUAUCGUUCUUCGCCGCUUCAACAUCAUCAGCAACAACAUCUGUAACAUCAUCUGCUCCCGUAUAAUACGAUCAUUGCAGGUGGAAACCAUCACCACAAAUGCAAGGGUGAGCUAACAGAAUCAACAUCUAACUCAUAGAUAAUGAUAUAAUAUAAUAAUACAAUUAUCAAUUAAUGUUACUAAUGAGGAGCAUUGGUAAAUCUUGAAGUAAAUAGUUUUGAUGAUGCUACAAGACGUUUUACCUGAAGGAAGUAUUAGAAAUGUUUAAAAGCACUUUGUAGAAUAUAAGUGUAAUAGGAAAGUCUUCAAAUUUUGUAAAACUUGUAUUUUUACUGAAAUAAUCGAUUAUGAGAAGCAAUAAUCAGUUAUCAUGAGUCUUUCAGGAAUAAUCGAUUAUCAUUCCAAAUAAUCAAUUAUCACAUUUUGAAAAACCUGUAACGGACUUGAAUAAUCGAUUAUCACUUACAAUAAUCGAUUAUUAGUGACAGUUGGGACUUGACCUCUGAUAUUUAGAGUAGCUGGCUAUAUAUUGGACUUCUGAGAAUUUCAGAAGAAACGUUGUUGAAUAGAAGCUCUUGCAGAAUACUGUUUGUCAGAGGAAGUUCUCAAAAGCUAUAGUUCAAGUUCCCUUGCUUGGUCUCGUGAAUAGGAGAAGCUCGCGUUUCGUGUGUCGAUAGUCGGAGCGGUUCUCUUCGAGUUAGCAAGGUGCUCUGCCUGGUCUCGUGAAUAGGAGAAGCUCGUGUAUCAUGUGUCGAUAGUCGGAGUGGUUCUCUUUGAGUUGGCAGAGUGUUCUUCUUCUGGUUCGUUCAUCGAAGGAAAGUUCUUUUAUCAUAUUUUAUUUAUUACUAUUGUAAUAUGUGAAACUCAUUUUUAUAGUGAUUACCGACUGAACGUAGAUUCUUUUGAAUCGAACCAGUACAAAAAUUACUUGUGUGAUUUUUCUACUCCCUAUACUGAUAACUCUCAAAUUUUCCCUAUUUUUCUAGUCUUAGAAGUUUAUUUUAGUACAUUUUAGUUUCUUAUUUUAUAGAAUUAGGUUAGUUUAGUAUUUUUUUUUUCUUUAAAUUUAGAGUUUUGUUAAAAUAGUGUUAAUUUUGCCUUUUCAGUUAAAUAAAAUAGGUUUUUAAAUAAAUAGAUAUUUUUCCUUUUUAGAAACAAAUAUUUUGAGAAUGAAAAUAAAAAUUUCUUUUGUUGUUAUAGACUUUUAGUUUUUUUUGUUGUUUAUUUUUUUUCNUUAUUUCUUUUUGCAGUAUUAAACCUGAUCCAAGGGGGCCACAAAUCUGGCCAAGGCUGGUGCUGAAAUGGGCCGAAGUAAUAUGGCCAGUGUUUAUGGACUAAAGCCAUUUUGGGCAGCAGAUUAAUGAAACGCUCAUUCAAGCAGCUGUGUGUUUACUAAAGGAGUAUACCCGUGAAGAGGGUUUCAUUUCUCCAAAUUAGAAGCAAUUGGAGCUAGGACUCACAAAGAAGAUUUUCCCCAAAUUCUCUAAACCCUCAAUCUAGGGUUCGUGGUCCAGCAAGAGGGGAUCAGUCCGAUGAAGCAAAUCCAAAGAACGACAACCCAAAAACGGGAACAGCCUAAGAUGUUGAUCGGUCAGAAUGAAGGUUGGAAGCACGUGCUAAGCUUGAACGGUUUGAGAACCUGGUCAGAGUCAGUUGAAGGAUAUUCAAGAAGCUUCCAAGUUUGUUCAGAUUCUUUCCCCUUUCCCCCUCUUUUCAUCUUUUCUGUUUAUGUUUUCUCCUAUAUAAAGGAGUUUUGUAAAAUAGAAUAAGUAUGUGCACUGGGUGACAGGCAGUGUACUUAGAUUAGGUUCUCCUUCUCUCGCCUUAGAGUAGAUAGUGGUGAGUGACAGACAUCACUUGUAGGGUGUAUACUACGAUUCAGUUUUCGAUUUCUCGCUUUAGUGUUAGAUUUACCGCUUUCGUAGAAGUAGAUACUUUGAUUCUUGCACUGGAAUUCUUGGGGAUGAUCAAUGGGUGACAGACUUUGAGCUCUCUGGGAUUUCUGGUAUCUGUACUUUUGAUUUCCUUUUCUUAAUAAAAGUUGUUCUUUCCAAUUUCAGUUUNNNNNNNNNNNNNNNNNNNNNNNNNNNNNNNNNNNNNNNNNNNNNNNNNNNNNNNNNNNNNNNNNNNNNNNNNNNNNNNNNNNNNNNNNNNNNNNNNNNNNNNNNNNNNNNNNNNNNNNNNNNNNNNNNNNNNNNNNNNNNNNNNNNNNNNNNNNNNNNNNNNNNNNNNNNNNNNNNNNNNNNNNNNNNNNNNNNNNNNNNNNNNNNNNNNNNNNNNNNNNNNNNNNNNNNNNNNNNNNNNNNNNNNNNNNNNNNNNNNNNNNNNNNNNNNNNNNNNNNNNNNNNNNNNNNNNNNNNNNNNNNNNNNNNNNNNNNNNNNNNNNNNNNNNNNNNNNNNNNNNNNNNNNNNNNNNNNNNNNNNNNNNNNNNNNNNNNNNNNNNNNNNNNNNNNNNNNNNNNNNNNNNNNNNNNNNNNNNNNNNNNNNNNNNNNNNNNNNNNNUGUUCACUGUUAUUAGCAUAUCAUUUAGGAUAGGAAUUACGCAUUGCAUAUUUCAAUUUUGUUUCAUUCAUUUAAUCUUUAGUUUAAAUAGAUACAAUCAUGCAUUGCAUUAUCUUUUCAUAUUAGAUUUCAUUUUUACAUUUUAUUUUCCCCACCUAGUUUUUAGUAAAUAAAUACAUAAUUAGGCAUAAUUCUACAAUUCUAUCUUAAUAAGUACCAAGUCCACGGAUUAGACCCUAGGUUGCCCCUAUACUACAUUAGUGGGGAAUUUAGGUUUGUUGAGAUUUUAGGCGACAAAAAAUCCUUUCAACAUAUACUCUUUAAUUUUAUUUGCAUAUCAACUGUUCGAUAAAUUUUCACUUAGAAAAUUUAUUUUACAAACUGACCAUUUUAAUCUUAAAAAGUUGAGUGAACACGCUUUUCUCUACUUUAAGUUUUAUUCCCCUGCGUUAUACUCUAUCUCCGAACGAUAGCGAUUGUUAACCAACAAUAAGCUCAUAACAAUCCUACUAAAUCAAACUCACAACAUUGUUAAUCCAACUCCAACCUAGAGAAACCAUGCCACACUCUCGAUUACUAUCGCUACAUGUUUUCUUCCGUACUCCAGCACACAUGACCUGUUCACCUAAACCGGGCCUACGCACCAACGCAGGACUUUCUCGCAUCAUUUGCUAUUGAGUACGUAAAAAACCACAGGGUUCACAGUCACCCACUAGCAUGACUUAUCAAACAACCCUUAUGGAAAACAACAACUCAACCAACUCAUGUUCCACUCGACACACGUUCCAAUUAACGUUGCAACUACAAUGCAAGAACAACAUUCAAGAACUUUUAGUUUUUUUAAUAUGACAAAAAAUAAGAUAAAAGAGAAUAUUCAAACGAGAAGCUUACUCUAGAUACCAAAUGAUAAGAUCAUGUCUAGGAAAUAGUAUGAUCGUUUCCGAAUUUGAAUCCUUAAGAGAAACAAAAAAAUAAUAAUCAGAGAAGAAUGUGGAAUAAGAUAGGGAUGAGGACACCAUAAUCUAGCAUAUUGAUAAUUUAAGUAAAGAUUCACCAUAAAGAUAUUAAUAUUUGAUAAUAAUCACAAUUCUAAUCCAAGAACCAAGAUAAUCCUCUCUCAAAGAAUGGAAAUGUGUAUAUAUAUAUAUAUAUAUAUAUGAUAUGAUAUGACUUAAAAGUGUCUACAUAUGUAUUUGGUACCCUUAUAUAUAAGCACAAAUGUUUAAGCCACCUAAUAAACUCUUAAGAACCAAGAUAAUUCUCUCUCAAAGAAUGAAAAUGUAUAUAUAUAAUAUGACUUAAAAGUGUCUACAUAUGUAUUUGGUACCCUUACAUAUAAUCACAAAUGUUUAAGCCAUCUAAUAAACCCUAAAAGAGUCCAAAGACAUUAGACCCAAAAAUAACUUGAAAAUUUAAAAACAGAAACUAAUUGUCUGUAAUUAAAAGAAAACAAAUAUCGUUUUAGUUGUCUAAAUUAUUGUAUAAUUAUGCUCUAAGCCAUGAUUUUCAUGUCCCUUGAAUUCCAAUCUUCAUGGAGCAUCAUGAGUCUCAAGGAUAUUUGUUCUUCGAGCUAUUUGUUUCUUGGCCUUGUCAUAGGUCCUUUGAAUUGGAAUGACUUUUCCUCAAGUUCUUCUUUUAUAGGAUCAAGGGAUAGUCCUCUGUCAUAAUCUAUUUUAUAACCAUUGUUAGUCACAUUCAAUAUUUUAAUAAUUCUAAUUCAGGCCCUUAUCAAAUCAGAAUAUUAUCUUAGGGUAUCUACAUAAUAACUUUUUAUGACAAUUAUGUCCUUAAUGGAAGACACAACGUACAAGAAUUUGUUAUCACGUGUGUUUUAUGGGAUGUGUACCUUUCACACAAGUAUUUUUUGUAGAUAAUUUUUCCACACUAUAUUUCGUAAGUAAUGUUUGUAGAUAAUUUUUUACGCUUUAAUUUUGUAGUUAAUUACUAAUGAAUAAUUUUGUAAGUUACGUAUAAUGGUUACCUUUUUUAUGCAACUUAUAGUUUAUGUUAAUCCUCUCAUUAAUUUUUUUUUCCUCUUAUCGACUAAAGUUUAGUAUAUAUACCCAAUUAAGAAAAAUAAAAAUAAAAAUAAUAUUCAUUCUCCUUUUCUUAGUAUUAGAAAAAUAUAAGAUAUAUAAUAUAUGAUAUAAAAUAUAGGAUCUGAAAAGGAUUUAGAAUAUAUAAUGUUAUCGUAAAUUAUUUCAUAUAACAUUAUAAUAAUAUAUAUGUAGUUAUGUUAUUAAUAUUAUUAUAUCUAUGUUUUAUGAUAAAAUAAUAAUGAUUAAAUUAAUUAUGUUAGAGAAACAUUAAAAAUAAAAAUAAAAUAUAUGUAUAAGCUUUUCGUUAUGUUUUUUAUUUUUAUUGUAUUAAUUUUAUCAAUACUCAAGUAUAAUUUAUAUUAGUUUAAAGCUGAAUUUUUCAACUAAAUAAUAUUUUAUGAAACGAAUUUUUAAAAGUACAGACUAAUUUUAUUCUUUAUUAUAUUAUUCAAAACCUGUGAUGGACUGAGAUUGAAGGAUGUAUGGGGUUGUAAAUUUUAGUUAACUUCAUAGUAUUACAAAGGUUUAAUACUUUUUUUUCUCUCGAAAGAGGGGGAAUGUUCAAAUUCAUUAUACCUUUUUUAAAAAGUUAAAAUGGGUCCCAACUUGUGAAAAAACUAUUCAAGUUAAUCUUUUUUUGUUACGAUGUUAAUUUUUUAACAGUGUAGCUGACACCCUGGACAAAACAUAAUGACAUGUUAGAAUAUUUGAGUGUGUGAGGGUGAAAUGACAUGUAAAAAAAUAAAUUGGGAAAAAAAAUAAAUGGCAUGACACUGUACUCUGGGAGGUUAAAAAAACAGGGGUUAGGGUUCGAGAGAAAUCACGAAUUAGGAGUAAACAUUAUGGUGAAAGUGGUGUUCAAAUUGGGGUGUCGUCGAAGCUGAAAUUUGAAGAGCGAAUUCAAAAGUGUAAAUCAGGUUAGUGUUUAUGUUUUAUAAUUUUCCGAAUUUGUGUUAUUGUUUGGUUAUGAUAUUUGUCGCGUUGCCGCGUUUUGGGCGGGGGGGUUAACUACGGGUUAAAUUGUUGUGUGAAAAGUUGUCUUGUUUUGAGGGUUGAUAGUGGUCUCAUAUGUCUUAGUUUAACUUAAUUUAGUGGUCCCCGUUUGCAUUUGCAGGGUUCGAGUUGGGAUGUCUAAUGACAGGUUUCAGGUAGUGGUCCACCACGGUGAGACCUUGAUCAAAGAAGUGCCCUUUAAAUAUAUAGGUGGGGAGAUAGUUUAUUAGGACGUAGCUGACCGCAAUAAAUGGUGUUAUUUUGGAGUAUUAGGUUCACUUAAACAUCUGGGUUACAUUGAAAUACAAGAAUUAUAUUACAAUAUCCAACAUAUUUUACAUAAGCUUUAUGAUGAUAAAGGAGCUAUGGACAUGAUGAAGGUGGCUAAUUAUUUGGGAAAGUAAACCUAUAUGUUGUACAUGGGGUGGACGAACCAGUUGUUGUAGAAAAUUAUGAGAAUGAGAUUAUUUACCUAUGUGAAGGUCCUACAGAGAGUGUUGAGGGUAGUAUCGUUAGAGGAGAAGCACAUGUUGAUGGUGGUGAUGAAGGAAUUGGGGACGUAGAAGUUGAAUUGGAAAAGGAGGUUGAGGAUGAGGGUGCAAUGAAGGUUGAGAAUGAGGAUGCAGUGGAGGUUGAGAAUGAGGUUGCAGUAGAGGUUGAGAAUGAGGAUGUAAUGGAGGUUGAGAAUGAGAGUACAGUGGAGGUUGAGGUUGAAAGUGAAUAAGCAGUGGAAGUGGACAGUGAGGAUGGAGUUGAGGUUGAUAGUCAAGAAGAAGUGGAAGUGGACAGUGAGGAUGAACCAGGAAUGGAUGAUCUGAGUGGUGAUGAAUACGUGGAUCAAGACAGUGAUAAUGAAACCCAACAACAGUAUAGGGGUUUGUCAGAGGAUGACAACAAGGAUAAAUUAUGUGUAGGUCCCUUUUCAAAAUAUGCAAAACAGAAGUCGAUGCCAGAUUAUAGGUGGGAAGUGGGCAUCAUUUUUAGCAAUAAGGAAGACUUUGAGGAUGCCAUUAGAAGGUAUGUUGUUCAUGUUGAUAGGACUCUAAAAUUUGUGAAAAAUGAUAAUCGUAGGAUGAGGGUUAGAUGCAUGGGUGGCUAAGGUAAAUGCCCAUGGGUAGCUUACUGUGGAUAUUUGCCAUCACGCAAAAUUUGGCAAUUGAGAAAGAUAAUUGACACUCACAGUUGUAGUAAGUAACUUAACAAUAAACUGAUGAAUGCUAAGUGGUUGAGUUAGGAAAUAGAUAGGUCUUUAGUUGACAAUCCUAAUCUGAUGUGGAGGGCUGCCAUAUGUACAUAUCCCCAGGCUUGGGAGAGAGAAAUGUUGAAAAUUAAAGAAGUCAAUAUUGAAGCAUAUAAAUACCUCAUAGGCAUUCCCAUGAGGUAACCCAUUGGCCAUUACAUGCACAUUUCAGUCACUCAUGCAUUGUAACCCAUUUUGGAAAUUUUUGUGCAACAGGUUUUGGUCAAGAUCUCACUUCACAGGUCAAACAAUGCGUGAUACCCUAAAUAGCAACAUCAGUGAAGCUUUCAACAAUGUUCUUGUUCAUGCUAGAGGAAAACCAAUUAUCACCAUGUUGGAGGAUACCAGAGUUUAUCUCAUGAAAAGAUGGGCCACCAAUAUAAGUAAGGUGGCAUAUAUGGGCUUCACAAUAUCCCAAAGAUAAAAGAGACUUCAGAAGGAAUCAAAUUUGUCAAGAUUUUGGGUCUCAAGGUAAUAUUAUCAUUUAUGUUCAUAUACAUUUGUCAUUUAUCUUCAUUGUUGAAGUGCUUUAUUUAUUUCAGUUGGCCUGCACAAAAUAUUUUUGAGGUUAGCCACACUUCAGCCGUUGAGAACAAGUUCACACUGGACUUGGACACUAAAAAAUGUAGCUGCAGAAAGUGGAUGAUCAGUGUCAUCCCAUGCUAUCAUGCAAUUGCAACAAUGAACUACUCAAAUGUAGACUCAGAGAAUUUUAUACCCACUUGCUUUAGAAGAUCCACAUAUGAAGAAGUGUAUGCCUCUAUAAUUUUUCUAGUGAAUGACCACCUGCUAUGGGAAAGAACAACCUUCUCUGAUGUACUGCCACUAGUGAAGAGGAAGUUGCUUGGGAGACCAAAGAAAAAAAGGAGGUUGGAGGCAUGAGAGCUAACUAAGGAUGACACUCAAAUGCGUGUUGGUAGACAUAGAAAAAAAUGUAGCAUUUGCCGUCAGAAGGGGCACAACAAGAAUAACUACCCUUUACGUCCCCAGCCAGCAGAAACAACAGAGCUAAUGGAUGAAACACAACCAUCAUAGGCACCUCCAAGUACCCAAACCCUAUACCAUUACAGCCACCAAGUCCCCAAUCAACCCAUCCACUAGUGUUGAGGACAAAAUUAGAUGUUAGAAGAAAAGCUACUUAGAUGAAUUAGAUGUAUUAUGUACUGUGAUUAAGAACUUUAUGUCUUUACUUUCAUGGUGAUGUACUGUGCUUCAUGAACUUUAUUUAAGUAUCUUGGUCAUAAGUUGUACUCAUAUUUUGCUCAUGUACUGGUAAUAUAUAUGUAUGGUAAUGAAGGAAAGUGCUUUGAUGAAUUAACCUAUACUCAUAAUUUCUUAUUUCUUCAUAAUCUUAUGUUAACAGUUUUGUCAUCAUCAUAUACAUUAUUGGCUUGACCUAUGUGAAUAUUUUUAAAGCAAAUGGGAGAUUGAUUCGAAUAUUCUCCACUGAAUUUAACUCAUUAAAAUAGUCAAUGCUACGUAAUACAUUGCAUGACUGAUCUUACACCAACCAAAACACCUUGACAUUGCCAACCUACUUUUUUCAAGCAUCCAAUACAUUACAUGAAUGUCAACAAAACAUAAAAGAAACACCCAAUUUCCCCACCUCAGAACCUGAAAGUCACAAGGUUCAGCGUAAUAUACACAAACAAAGCUACAACUAACAACUUCAUCCUUUUCUUCAAAUCCUUCACUACAUUUUCCAGAUCACUUAUCCUCCUCACAAUUGUACAAUCUUUUUCAUCAACGUUUUUUUUCAGAACACCGCUUGAAAAAGUUACACGAGCUCCCAAUUGAAGAUCCACCCUAUUAUUCACCAAGUUAGGGAAUCUAUCACCAAAUGCAUAAAGUGAAGAAAACAUAAACUCGGAAGGGUAUACUUAAAACCUUGUAAUGAGAACAUCUCCAAAAAUUUCUGCCAGCAUUCUCCGUAGUUCCCGCGACUUUGGUUACAACAAUAUUACCACAGUAACAAAUAGGGAUUAUCCCACCUCCCCUCCAACCAUCACCAUGAGACAAACGCGAAGAUCCUUUGACCCAACUUUUCGAAAACGAAGAACACCCUUGGGAAGAAGCCAUUCCUAUCUCGCCCCAAACACUUUUCUCACCUCAACGACUAAGUUGGAGGAACCUAAACCCUAACCCCUCUUUUUUUAACUUCUGCCACGUUAUCUAUUUUUUUUUUCACAAUUUUAACCUCAAAUAGUCACACGGUCACAUAAAAUAGACACGUCAUUAUGUUUUGUCCAGGGUUCAGUUACACUGUUAAAAAAUUAAUGUCAUAACAAAAAAGAAUUAAUUUGAACAAUUUUUUCAUAAGUUGAAACUCUUUUUAAUUUUUUUAAAAAAAGUAGGACGAAUUUAAAUAUUCCCUAUUUUUCAAGGAAUCAAAAGAGGCAUUAAGCCUAUUAUUAACAUUGAGUUUAAAAGUUGAAAUUUGUUACAUUAUAGUUUUUAUGAUUUAUAACUUCUGAAAAUGUAUAUGUAUGAAGAUUUUUUUUAAAAUAAUAACUUGUAAAGGAACUGUUAUAACAAUAUUUAAAAAUUAGGUAAAUAAAAAUCACUUUCCAUAUAAGGUUUUUUUCUUCUUUUUGUGUUAAAUUGAUAUCUUUUAAGAAAAUAUAUAGUAUUUUUAUCUGUAAAACGUUGAUUAUGGACUGAAUUCUUUUCGGUAUAUUUUUUUGAAAUAAUAACCUUUCACUACUCUAUUUUUUUUUCGUAAAAAUUCCAUUUUAGUUCAUAUUUUAUAGGAUGAUAAAAAAAUUAUGACCUCUUUCAAAAGACAACAACAUCAAGUAAUUAUUUUUAAGCUAAAUAAAAUUAUUAUGAACUAUAAAUUUUUCAAUGUUUAACUUAUUUGUAUAUUAUAUUCAAACUCGAGGUCAUGUAUUAAAUAUUCAUAUAUAAAUUGAUUCAAGUGUUUAGUAAUAAACUCUAUUUAUUCUUAUAGUAAUCCUAGUUGUAGACAAGUUGUUCUUGUGUGACAUGGAUAUAAAUAACCAUGUGGAACUUGUUUUCCCUGUUUUUUUUUUCUAAUAACAUGUGCCUAGUUCAAAUUUGUUGGCCCCUUUCUAAACAUUAUCUGGGCCCAAAUUGGAAAUGAAUAGUACUCCAGUCCUAUGUAAAAUGAUUGACUUCUGUUGACUAAUUUUUAUUUUUGUAUAUAAUAUUCUUCUUCUUUGAGAUUGAUCAGAAGCAUGCCUAAUUCCUAGUUACAAUUUUAAUAUGAUAAAAAAAGUGACUCAUUCUUUUUGCAUUAAAAUUAUAAAGAAGACUAAUUCCCUAUAUAACCCUAUAUGUUUUAGUUAGAUCUUUGCAUUAAUUAUGCACUUUAAGUUUCACUUUUCCAAUUCAUGGCUUGUGGUACUUCUAAGAAUGAUGAUACAAAUCAUGAAGCAGAAAAGAAAGAGAAUAUAAUCACAUUGAAAAGUUUGUCUGGUGGACUAUUGAUUUUUCUGUAACGUGUAAUAUUGUGUCAUGUACAAUGUUGACUAUAUAUGCAGAUUACGUGCUCAAAUUAUUACUUACAUGAAUUCAUAAACAGUAGCCAUGCGCAUAAUGUUUCAUUGCUUCGUCGCUUUAAAACAUGUAACAUGUAAUUAAAUUUAUUAAUUCCAAGCACUAGUCUGAAAAUCUAAAUUUUACGUUGUAAUUUAUUCUUAGCUUUAAUAACUUAAAGUUUGACAUCAAACUAUUCCUAUUGUUAACCUUUUAUUCUUUAUAUUUCUUCAAAUUUACUUUAAUUGUUCUAUCAGAUAUAUUCAUUGAUAAUUUAUUGUUGAUUUAAUUUACCCACAAAUAAAUUCGUCAGUAAUUUAUUUGAUGAAAUCAAAUUUAUAUUUGAGAUUUUCUUUUCCUAAUUUUAUUUUUUGCUUUUUUUAAAAAUAGUCUACUUUGUAACAUUAUUUCUUUGUAUCAUUAGUGUAGGGCGGAGGUGAGUGGAUUCAAGUUCUGAUCGGGUUGUAGUUCAAUGGGAAAUAACCUAUGUUAUAAUGUUUUGCAAUUUGGAGAAAGGAUACAAGGGACACCUUGAGUUUGUAUGUUCUCAUAAAAGAUAUAAUAUUAGAUUUUUUUUUUUCUUGUGGAUGGGUAUUGGUACGUGGACAUUGGGUAUGUACGGAUUAUGGUAUCAAAGUUUGUUGUUAUUGGUCGUGUGGUCUCUAAUUACUUUCUUACUUGGUAUGGUUGUUUCAGAGGUAGGGCAUUUACGUUAAAUGUUUUCCAUGGUGUUGGGUGGGGUUACCAUGGUUUUUGUCAUUGCUAUCACAAUAUCUCCUAUACCAUCUUCCUAUACUGUGAUGGUGUGCUCAAGAAAGUCUUGUUUUUGUAAGUAGGUCCUAUUUUAGUAAUUAGGAGAGUGUUGUAGGAUGAACAAGACAUGUUUUGAUAAACAAGAUCAUGGAAGUCUUGCUUUGGAAAGUGUGCCCUAUUUUAGUAAACAGAUCAAGUUGCUCGAGUAUGGAAGAGAACAUAGUAAAAGAUGGUGAUAACAUGGUUUGCUUGGAUUAAAGUUGGUUUGGCAUGGUUUUGUUGUGUGGUGAUUUAUUUGAAAUAAGGGCAUAAUGAGGUUAGAUAUCAAUUUUAAUUAUAUCAUUAUAUGUUGUUUUGAUGUUUAUUUUGUUAGUUCACCCUUACGUUUUGUGGUUGUGGUUUCCGCUUUGAUGACCAUAUUCAUACGAGAGCAGAUAAUAUUACAAAGGUUGAUGUUGAUGGUACUAAUGUGAUGUAGAAUGAGAGACGGUGGAGAAUGAUUCUCGAAGUUUCCAAAAAGUUAUUUCUCUUUUUAAUUAAUCAUAAGGAGUCUUGGUACAUUAAUUCCAGUUGUAAUUGGAUUAUUUAUUGUUAUAGCAUAAACUUUAUUAUUUUUAUGACAACAAAAUAAAUUUUUAAAUUUUCACUACAUUGAGGUGGUAUCAUAAUUUUAUUUAAUUGAUGUCUUUUGUGUUUGGUUGGGUUAGAUUUUAAUAGGGUUGUUUCCUUUUGUCAAAGGUUAUUGCGGUAGUAAUGUUUUAACUUAUAUGUUUGACUUGCAUUUUGGGCUUACAAUGUUGAUAUUAGUUGUCUUGCUUCUAAACUCCAUAUUGUAAUUUCUUACAAAACAAAAUCAUGAUCCCUACAAACUGCAUUGUUUAUGUUUUCUAAAACUUAUAUAAGAUAAAUUGUGAGUAUGGUGGACGAUUUAAAUGGGGAUUGUAUUUUGCAGAAAGAUGAAUAAAUAAGUCUUGAUCGUUUAAUUGCUUAUAAUUCAAGAUAUCUCUUUUAUAUCUUUUGUUUUGAUUUUUAGGCUAGUUAAAUAGCUACCUUUAAGAUGAUUUAUAAUUAAGAGAUGUUGGAAAAAGAAUGGAUUAGUUUUAACACCUAGAAGAUGAAUUGGUGAAAAUAAAAAAUCAGAAUCUUUUCAAAAUCUUUUUCACAAAGUGUAAACCUUUCAAAAGUUUCUUGAAUCUCGUAUGAAAAAGAUAAAUCAAUGCAGCAAAAAAUAGUUGACGAUACUGAAAAUAUAGUCGACUUUAAAAUAAAGAGAUCAAGGAUAGAGAAAUUCAAACAUAGUUUUUAUACUAGUUCGACCAAACUGCCUACAUCCAGUGUCCUUCCUCUAACCGAAAGCAAAUGCACUAUAAUGGUCAAGGUUUUUACAACAAGGUUUCUAUAGGGACCUUCAUGUCAAAAUAUAAAACACCUCUCUAACCCUCUAACCAAAUAUAGGCAUACAACACCUAAAAAACAACAAGAUAUCCCCUCUCCUACAGUCUUUGUCAACUUUGAACAAUCCUCAAAGUUUUCCUAGCUCUUCCUGUAAUCACAAUAGGGCAGCCACAAUCUUCACAAGAUUGAGAGAAGUAGAUGAUCACGUUUCCAGUACACCUCAAUGUGCAGUAUGAUCAAGCCUUUCUUUCAACACAACCUUGCUCGUUAAAUAACUAUCCAAGAGAGAUCUCCACGGUCUUCUUUAUAAGUUCUUAGAGCUUUUCACAAAGAUCAAAAUCUGAAACAAUAGAAUGAAAUUGCUAGAAUAACCAAAGUCCCUGUGUAAAACAGAAUCACGUCUAUUUAUAGUUUUCUGUAAAAAAGACGCUCUUGUAGUCGACUUCACUACUAAUCCAGUCGACUUCAGUCAAACAAUUAAAAUAGUUAAAACCAAUUAGUAGCAGUCAGACCAACCAAAUUGAUUGGGCAUUUAAUUCAGUUGACUUGCAAUUAAUGCUUUGUCAAAUAGACAAUAUAUAGCUGUUAUAGUUCACAAACAUUAACAGAAAUUCAAAACAUAACUAACUAAGUCGAGUUGCCUACGUAGACAGUCGACUAUGUCACUUCAAUGUAGUUUUGAAAAUCUUUCCUUUGCAAAAAUACUCACAACACUGUUUUUGAAAAUUUGUGCAAAGUCACGAGUUUUAAUCGACUUACUUCAUAAUGAAGUUGACUUAAAACUUGCAGUUUUGCCACACAAUAUAAGUUCAACCAAGUGCAUGUGGUUUUCUUUUCUAAACACAUAUGUAAUGAAAUCACAGAAGAUAUCUCAUGUAAAGAUCAGUGAAUAUGCACACAUAUACAAAAUUAACACAAACAUGUUCUUCAAGAAUUCAUACACAAUAAAGUUUUGAACAUGUAACACAUAUCAAUACAUGUGUUAUUAAUAAUGUGUUGUCAUCAUCAAAAACCAAAAAUACUGUGAGAUUAAGGUUUAGCUAAACCAGUACUUCCCUUAUCAACAAUCUCAACAAGAGAUGUGGGACCUAAACCCUGUUUAAACAUUACAUUUCAUAUUUAAGAUCUCUGAGUCCUAUAUCCCUUAGUUUACUCAACCUACUUCCUCUACUACACCUACAUAGGCAAACCUAAGGCUUCCUUUGUAUUUGCAUUAAAUUGCAUUUCUUCUUUAAGAUACAAUUUAUCUCUUAGUUUGAAUUUUGGGUCUUAUCUUGUAAAAAACAAGUGGCAAUCCUUCCUUAUUAUUCCAUAUCAUGUAAGAACUAAACAAAUAAGAACAAAAAUGAAAUUAAAAGGUAUAAAAUGAAAAGGAGAAAAGGAAAAGAAACUUAGGAAAUUGAAGCCACGCUGUUUGGAGGGAUCCAAUAUAAGUGCAAGGGAGGAUCAUAAUUUGUUCUUUAAAAGAUAAGUCUCAAAAUAAUUUAGACUAAAAGAUAUAUUAUCUUAAAGAAAAAAUGUAAUUUAAUGUAAAUCGCUUUAAUUUUCAUUUAGUGAAAGGUUUAUUACUACAAAUGAGGCCUUAGGUUGCUUAUAUAGGUGUAAGAGAGGAAGUAAAUUAAGUAAAUUAAGUAAAUUGAAAGAUGUGGAACUUGGAGAUCUUAAAUUUGAAAUGGAACGUUAUAAACAGGUUUUAGGUACCACAUUUCUUAAUUCUACAUUACCCUAAAGAUAUAUAAGCUACCCAACUAGUGUAAAAAUCAAAACUAAAGUUAUAUCAUAGAUAACUUGAAUUACAAGCAACUAAAAGAGGAAAACUUUUUUAUUAUUUUUUCUUUUUAGUCCAAACUAUUUGGAGUCGCAUAUUGAUUGCACUUUAAAGAAAAAAAGGAUCUAUAAGUAUCUCUACAACCAAACUAAGGAACUAGCAAGGCAAAAUACAAACCUAUGAAAAUCUAUGCUAAUAAAGGCCAAAAUACAUGUUAUAAAACCUAUUCUAUUCUUUUCAUUUCUUCAUGUUUUCCUUAUGUCUUGAGCCAUUUAUGAUCACAUCAGAUCAGCCCAAUGAAAAGGGGUGAACUCAAAAGCUAAUCUGAGGUUGUUCACAAAGGGUGAACUCAGAAUUAUAGGUAGGGGUCAAAGACCCUGUUAUUUUCUUCAUUCUGUCUUUCUUGUGGACAUCUUGGUGCCCUCGUAAUGUUGUGAGAUUGCAUUUUAGUGCAUUCUGUUUUCAAGUCAUAGCAUGCUUUGUAUUGAUUACAAAAUGUAGUUUUAAAGUACAUGGACAUAAGGGUCUAUAUAAGAAAAUCCAGAUUUAGAUAAAGCCGUGUCUCAUGGAAUGUUUGCAAAUAAAGAAACUGUUUUUGGCACUGUAGUAGAUGCACGUCAAACUUCUUAGUAAAAAAGGAUUCACUGUGAUUUAUUUAAGGUGAUAUCAUAUGUCUUGCUUCUAAAGUAUGCUUUAGUAAUUGUUUUUACGUUGCAUGUUGCUGUUGAACGUGGAGUAAAAUUUUGAGUAGUAGACAGAGAAGAAAAGUGGAUCCCCUAUCACUUUCUUAUGAUUCAAUAGUGGUUUUCAUACAAAUAGUAGCGAACACACUAUAAACUGAAGAACUUUGUAAUUAAAACAGCUUAAACUCAAACCAAAUCUACUCUAGGAAAGCAAUAAAAUCUACCAAACUAGCUUUGUAGUGAAGGCAGGUUCAUAACAUUAGAGAGAAGGAAAACUCAGAACUGUAAAAUCUGGAAAAGGUUUUCUUAUUAGUCACUAUGUGGUUUUCAUCCAUCUCUAAUUUUGAUAUUCGCAUUCCGGUUCUGCAACACCCCGGACUCAUCAUUUCUAAUAGCAUAUGGCAUAUUACUGCAAUAUCUUCGCACUGGUUUUUUAUUACAUUAGUCUACUACAUCAUUUAAAUUGAAGAACUUUAGUUCAAAGUCAAAAGGAAUAGAUAAUUUGGUAGAAAGAAAAAAUGAGGUAAAUUAGGAGUUAUGAUUGUAUUCUGUUGAACAGUACGUAGCAUCAACUUAUGGGCUUUGCAAGUUUAUUGGAAGACAGGAUAUGAAUGACAUAGCACGGGGGAAUCUAUUGAUUGAUUUUCUUCACUCUCGGUUCUUUGCUUAUUGGUAUAACAAUCAAAGAAUAUUACACCCCGAUUGUACUUUAGUUUAAGUCAUAGGGAAAAUUCUCAGCUAAACUUUAAUGGUUGCAGAAGAGUAAUAUAUAUAUAUAUAUAUAUAUAUAUAUAUAUAUAUAUAUAUAUAUAUAUAUAUAUAUAUAUAUAAAGACCAUAUCAAUUUGAAUUGUAAUGUGUAACAGCAAUAGGUGGUAUAAAGUGAAAAUAGAAACUUCCUCAUUUCUCUUUAUGCAAGUGAUAAAAUAAAUUGGAGAAAGAAUGAGUGUGUGAGAGAAAAAGAAUGGAGGAUUCAUGCAAGUUGUGGUAAGAUGCAUUGUUUCAUGUGUGGGGUCGGGAAUGAAUAGGACACUCCUUCACACUUUCUAUCGCGCUUGUUUGGAUAAUUUUGUUCGUCUUUUGUUAAAGUCCUUUCUGGUUAAUGUUCCAAACCGCUCGAGGAUACUUGUCAAAGGCAUUUCGAUGCUUAAGUCAUUAAUUAAUCCAGACGAUGGUUAGAGCAAAGUCAUAAAUUCACAAUAAAUAUGAUCACUUACUUUUUAUCUUUGACCUCUAUUUAUAGUUUUAGAGAUGGGCUUAAGAUUAGCAAAACCCUAAUCACGACCCCAAUCUCGGUCCAUUAUCUACUAAUUAACACUUACUCUUAACCUUGUCUAUUUGGUCUUUACCCACAUUCGGCCGAGCAAUCAUCGUCUUAUUUUGUUCAAUUUCAUGGGUUCAGACAUAUUCGAUCGGUCAUCCCUCAAUGGCUCUUUCUGCCCGGUCUUAGCUAUGUUGUCAUCUGGCCAUACAGUACAAAGGCCUCCCAAGCCCUAGCCAACCCUGGGUGGCGUUGGAUUUGAUACAUGGGUGGUGUGGAGUAGGUCUCGUGGCUAUGGUUGGAGCUUCCCCAUACGACGUGAUUUGAAUUUGUGGUAGUGGUGGGAAGACACUUGUCUUAUUAAUUAUGUGUUGUCAUCAUCAAAACCAGAAGAUCUCUGAGAUUGUAAGGUUUGGCUAAAUAAGUGUUCCCUCUAUCAAAAAUCCCAACAACCUUCAACAAAGAAAGGUCAAACCUUCAACACAAAAGAAAAAGGACACACCUUGAACUAAGAGUACAGAGAGAACAGAGGAUUGGAGAGAGAACGGAGAGUGGAGAAAGAACAACAAAGAAGUUGAAUUAUAGAGAGAGAAUGAACCCUCUUUUUCUGAAUGAAAAAAGCAAGGGUAUUUUGGAAUUCAUAAGUGUAAUAUGAUUACAUUUUCCCACGUUACCUUUUUCAAAUAAAAAAUUUAUUUUAACCUUCUCCAAUACUGUUUUUAGACAUGGCAAUUGUGAAAAAGUUAUAAAAAAAAGGUUUAAUGUCUCGAUAAGUCCUUAUUUUCGUCCUGAAUCUCAAUUAGGUCCCUUUUUUUUCGACUUCUCGAUUAGGUCCUUAUUUUUGUAAAAUUGAAUCAAUUGAGGGUCUACCGUCAAAUUAAACAAACUGUCGUUUAAAUUUACUGACGUGACAUUAAAAACGAAUUUUAUAUUAAAAAUUUGAAUUACACAAGUGUGAAUUCAAAUUUAAGAAAGGGCAAAGUAGGCAAAAUCUAAAAUUUAAGUGCAGCCCCUAACUUCAAUCUUCCAUGUUCAUUUCAUUCAACUCAAAAUUAUAUUCUGUUCAUCAGCAUCCUUCCCAAAUUCCAUCAACGUUUCCCUGUCCUUAUCAUACAGCGGGCACUCAUUCUCCAACUAACAAAGUUGGACUACCAACUUAUCAAACUCCAGUGCCAGUCUAUGAUUCUCCUCCACGAAUUUCUUCAAAACUUGCACUCGCUUCAAACUGCUCUAAAAUACCCAGAAUUCCCAUCAUCAAAUUUUCAAAAAAAAGAAAAUGAAAGAUAAAGAUUCAAAAGACCAAUCUUGCAUAAAACAAAAUCAAAUGCAACCAAAACAAAAAGUAAAAAGCCUUCCAAUUCCAACAUUAAUAAACAACCAGUACAUGAUUGGAUUAAUGUGAGUAUUUCAACAAUUUACUGAAGCUUCACAAUUGAGAUUUCCCAAAUGCAGAUUAAAAAAUGAUGAUAAAAGCAAACAAAGAGGAGCGGACCUCACCUCGUCCACAUUAAAAUCCCGAUCAAUUAACCGGUGUCCUGAGUUCUCCAAUUCAGAAACCCUAACGCUCCUUCGAGUUUCUUUCGACACUUUCGCGACGGCGGAGUCCAAAUCCUUGCGGAGGAGCGUCCCUCCCAUGAUGAAUCCCUCUUGUUCGAAGGCAAAGAGCGUCUUGGACUGCGACGGAGAAGAACAAAAUGGAAAGGUGAGACCUUGAAGGAAAUGUAAAUGUUAUUGAUGGUGGCCAAGUCGUUGAAGGAGAUGACGUUGAAUGGAGGAUGCAGAUGAUGUUGACUGGCUUCAUUACUGAGAAGGAGUUUUAGGGUUUUGAAAGAAAAGGGGUUAAUGGAAGAAGAAAAGAGGUUUGUCUUUUUUGCCCCUCUGAACAUAUUUGAUUUAACUUUGCUUAAUUAUUUUUUAAUAUAAAAAUUAAUUCAAAUUUAUUUUUAAUGCCACAUAAGAUAAAUUUAAACGGUCGUUUGUUUAAUUUAACGGCAAGUCUCUAAUUCUUCAAUUUUACAAAAAUAAGGACCGAAUUGAGAAGUUGAAAAAGAAAUGGACCUAAUUAAGAUUCAGGGCAAAAAUAAGGACUUACGGAACUAUUAAACCUAAAAAAAAAAGUUGUUAACUUAUCGCGAUCCACAAUCAAUAAAUCUCCUUUAACACGAAAACUACCUAAAAGCAAUAUCUAUAACUUAAUGUAGUAAGGAAUUUUGACCAAUAAUUUUUUAGACACAAAGUAAUAUGCUUAAACUAAGUAUAAUUUCAAUGUCUAAUCUCUAUGCAAACUAGUAGAGUCCAUUCUCUACCUAUUGUAAGGUAGUGUGGUGUUUUUAUUACACCACUUUUACUUUGCACGUGGGUAAAUGAUAUAGAACAAUUAUAUUUUUUGUAAUCACCAACAAGACCAACCCCUAACUCUGCUAUCAAAUAAAAAAGGACGGAUCUAACAAUGUGAUUAAAGGAAUUUGAGUAACCUCCACCGCUAACUCAACAUGCAAGAGUUCAUUUUCAAAUGUAUUUAGAAGUCUAUAUCACAUAUAUUCAACUAUAACUUCAAUUACUCAAAAAGCAACUUGAGCUGUAAGGAGUGCAAUGGGAAAACUCCAACCUAGAAAUCAAAACAAUAGAAACAAAAAUACAACCAAACUUAGGCAAAGACUAAAUUAGUUGAGAAAGUUAUUUUUCUCAAUUUAUAAAGUAUAAAAGAAAAAUUAAAUGGAUUUUUGAUGCAAAAAAGAAAUUUUAAUUUGAAAAGAAAAUUCAUAGGAUAGAAAUGGUAUUUUAUCAUGCUAGUAUAAGGUAGGAUAUGAUUAUGAAAAUGGAGCAUUGGAGUGAGACACUAAAAGAAAUAUUAGAGAAAAACAAACGUUUUUGCAUGCAUGAGAAAGAGAGAAUGAGGGGGAAGUUUUACAAUUUUUUAACUCAAAAAUUUGGGUUCCAUCUUUAAUUUUGUUUAUAUUUUUUUACAUUUACCAAACUAAAUUAUAUAUGUAUGGUCACAAAUGAAAUUAGUAAAUUUAGGAAUAAAUAUAAAAAUCACAUACUUUCAAAAAUAGAGAAACCAAAUGUCUCACCCGGUUUAUUCAAUCAUAAAUUGUAAUAGUUGGUACCUAAUGUUUUAACUAUAAUGUUUUAAUUAAUUAAAAAUAUAAAAAUAUUUAAUAACUUUAACUUUUAUAUUGAAUACUUCUUCGUUUAAAAAUAUGAUUUCAAAAUAGUAAUGUUUUCCCUUCCGAACAUAAAAUUCACUUCAAUAGUUUUCUAAAAUAAUACAGAAUUAUUCACUGUUUUUAUAAUCAUAUUAAAGAUUCGUGUAUUAUUUUAUCUUAAGUCCGUAAAAUAUCAUAUCGGUCGUUUAUCGACGAAAUAGGCGAAAACUGGAAAGCAAAGACUGAAGGGAUAUGUUUUGCUUAGCGAUGAAGGAAAUCUAUAUUACAAAUAAAUUAAAAAAACAAUGUCAUAAUCAAUUAAAUAUAAGAAAAAAAUAGUAAGAACCUGAUUCUAUUUUAUUUUCAUUGAAUUAACAUACCUAUAUAUUUUUGUCUGUGUCUGAAGUAGAUUCUAUUUAUACAUUCUACGAAUCUAAUACUGAUUCUGUGUUAACAUCAUACUUCAUUUUUGUCUGCCAUAAGCAGAUUCUGAUUAUAGCUGCAAUUGCAAAUAUAACAUGAUUGAGGUUAUACUUGCAACAUAACGAAAUACUUUCCCAAAAGGGCUCUUAUUUUCGUAUUGGCCCCAAAGGUUUUGGAAUAACAGCCCAUUACAAAAGAUACUUUAUUCUUUCUUUCUUCAAUCACUUUUAUUGCAGGAGGGCAGUUUGAGAUCUAUUUAGGUUAAACUCAUUCGGAGGUAUCUAUUUUUGUGUUUUUGUUUCACUUACAUUUCUGUCUUUUAUUCUUUCACCAAUUAGAUUCUUAAGAUUGAAAAAUUGAAAGAAUUUGACCUUUGCCGUUAAAUCAAGCUAACAGGAUUAACUUUCAGCUUACAUGUAAGGGUGAGGUGGAUAAAUAUGAUCACGUGGCGUGCACAGAAGGGUUUGUUUAUGUACGUGGCAUUAAAUUUAAAAAGUAGGGGUUUUGUUAAACAUUUUAAAAUUAGGGUUAUUUUAAAAUACAAUUAGGAUUAAAUCUCUUUCAGUAGUGGAGUGGUGGUUCCAACAGCACCGACUCGUCAUCACUGGCGAUGUCUACGGCUCAUCCUCAGUUGCGCCUCGGUGCUACUUCUACCGGUCUCUCCACCGUCAAGUGCAUGCAAAACGUGGCCGCCAAAGCCGUCGCGCAACGCCUCACUCGUGUCAUGGCAUCUCAGAACGCCAUCAUCGACGAAGGUGAAGAUGACGAUGAUCUCGAUUUCCGGUUCAGCGCUCCGCCUCCUACAUCUAUUUCUUCUUUCUCCAUCAACGCCAUCAGUAACAGGAGCACCAACACAAAUGCCUCCACUAUUCCUCCGAUUUUGGUUGCCAAGCCUAACAGAUCUACUUCUCCUACGAUAACUCUCUCUGCAAUUCGACACUGUUGGGUAUGUCACUGUUUGUCCAGAAUUUCAGGAAGAAAAUAGAAGAUAAACGUCACGCUAGAGAGAAAAAAUCACCAUGGUCGCGAACCGAACAGUGAGAAGGAAUUCAAAGUGAGCGCGUUGAAUGAAGAGAAAAAAAAAUAAAGUGAAUAAGAUUAACUGAAUAAGGAAUCCACCUUGUGGUCGCGACUACGGUAUUUGAACUGGCGAGGGAAAUAACGAAGGACGUAACUAAGGCCGUCAUCGGAGAGAAACAUCUCUGGUGUUAGUUUGGGCCUUGUUCGAGGAAGUUUCUUGGGCUUUUCGGUUGUGAAUCUGGGCUUGAAAGAAAAGGAAGAAGGAUUGGGAGUGGGAUUGGUGGAGGCGUUAGGGUUUGGAUUGGAAUUGGGAGCAGAGAAAGGACAGUCUCGUGACCAAUGACCUGGUCUGCCACACUUGUAACAGCCUGUGGCGGUUGCUGUUCCUUUUCCUCCAUUUUUUCACUUCUCACUGAUCACUCUCCUUUCCCAACACACCAUCUAUCUGUGGUGCGAUGGUGCUCCACCUGGACAGGAUAGAAUGCGGUGAUAGAGCUACGUGGUACAAGCAACUGUUAUCGGCAAUACUGCAGCAAUGAUUUUGAUGAUUGAGUGUCUGGUGCAGGAGGUGGUCGUCGGCGACGGUGUGGUAGCGAUCUAGGUGGCGCGGCGCAAAUAGUGAAGUAAGGAAGUUUUAGGGUUUAUGGAAGGAAGAAGGAAGAAUUUUCAGUUAUUUUAAAAAAUUUAUUCAGAAUAAAAAUUAAAUAAUACAAAUAAUUAAUAAUAAUAAUAAUAAUAAUAAGGUUAAGAAACACUAAUUUUUUAAUUCUUUGUUUAAGAUACUGACACGUGUAUAAUAAAACCAACGUAACAGGUUCUGUGCACACCACGUCACCAUAUUUGUCCACCUUACCCUCACAGGUAAGAAAAAAGUUAACCCCGUUAACUUGAUUUAACGUCAGGGGUCAAAUUCAUUCAAUUUUCCAAUCUUAAGGACCUAAUUGGCAAAAAAAAAAAGAUGAGGAUGCAAGUGGGACAAAAACACGAAAAUAGGGACCUCUGAAUGUGUUUAACCAUCUAUUUACCUGUAUUGAUGUUAAUUGAAGAGAAGGUGCUUAUUAAAUAAGUCUACUAAGUUCAUGGGGUACCAUAAUUGAGAUCUGGGACACUAGAUUGGUCGAAGAACCUUUAAUGAUUGGAUUGUGAAUAGGUGUAUGGUAAGUAAAAGUCUAUAUAAAUAUUAUAAAUAAAAAGUUUAAGGUAAUUGUUCACUUUUACUGCAACAUUUAGUAUAGCCUUUGGAUCAAUACUAAUUUAAGCAUCAGAGUGUAAUCUAUAAGUACACUUCGAACGAUUUGGACAACUUGAGACCUUAAGUAUUGAAAGGAGCUGAAAAUUGAAGUUAACCUAAGACCGAGACAUAUAGGAAAUGGAAAUGCUUGACCAAUCUAACAGAAACAUUUUUGUACCCACCGUGGGACCGAACGAGCACUUUUUUGCUGCUAUGGUAAUCACAAAGAACAUGACAAACAAUGAAGUACUAGAGGAGCAGCAUGUGGAUCCUAUGGCUAUGAUGCACGACAUGAGAAGGGAGAUGGAGACUAUGAGAAGGAAGCAUGAAGGAGAGAUGACAAUUUUGCACACAGAAAACACACUUAUGAAACAAAAACGGAAACUAAGGGACAUGUACAAUCCACCCCAACUCAACUUGGACCAACCAAACAACCAAGAAUCGAGCAUGAUCGAACAGUUCAGAAGAAAAAUUAUGGAGCUAGUAGAGAUCACAACCCAUCUGUCACUGUCACGGUAGACAUGUCUGGGUGCACCCGUUUACUAGUGGAAUCAUUAAGACCCCUUUACUAGACAAUUGGAAGAUGUCAACGUUUGACAAGUAUGAUGGAUCCACGAAUGUUAACGAGCACAUCAACAUUUGUCUAACGCAGUUGGUGUUAUUCACGUCAGAUGAUAUCAUUUAGUGCAAGGUAUUCCCAACAUCACUAAAAUGAGCCAUCCUCGAGUGGUUCAAGCUUCUAUCUGUCAACUCCAUCGGCUGCUUCGCCACAAUUAGAACGAAAUUUAGAACAUAAUUCACCACUAGCCAACAACAUCAUCUAACGUACAUAGCGCUUGUCAACAUUCGACAAUACAAAGAUGAAAUCCUCUGAACAUUCAUAGAUCAAUUUGGAAAGAUAUCUUCACAAAUAAAGGACCUAAGUCAUAAAGUGCCUAUGCAUCAGAUAAUUCACCAAAAAAACUUGUGGGAUCGUUCCCCAAUAGCCUGUUAUGCAGUCUACCACAAAUUUAGACGAUUUGAUAUAGAGAGUAGCAAAGUACAUGCAGCGAAAGGGCUUGAAAGGCUUUCGAAAGCAAAUGCGACUAUAAAGAGCAAAUGUAAAUAAGGGUACAAAUAAAAAAUCAUUCACCAAGAAUCAAGACUCAAAGUUACGGAGUCAAUCAGAGGUCCCCACUUCCAUAACCACACACCAUCGAACAAUGGUUGUUCGAAAAUCCUUUGGGAAGCUCUAAACACAUACUUGUUACCAUCACCUAGAAGAAAGGCAACCCUGUUGAACCUUGAUAGUAAUAAACAUUGUUAAUAUCAUCAUCACUUAGGCCAAAACAACGAUGAGUGUCUACCGCUAAAAUAUAAAAUAGAAGAGUUCAUCCAACUUUGACAGUUAAAGAAGUUUGUCAAAAUUGAUUAAACCCCUACCAUAGAGAAGAACCCCUAAAUGAGCAGUAUCAAUGUACAAAUAGUAUAAGGAGCAGCCUAGGUGAAGAAGCCGAAGUAAGAACAAGAGUCGGGAUGGUCCAUCGAGGGAAACAAUCAACACAACCUAAGGAGGUUUCGCUUGAGGAGGGCACACAAUAUUUUCCUAAAAGAAUCACAUUUGAGCAAUUAAAAUGAUGAAUCUCGUAGAGAAGAGAGUUAGAAGCACGCCCUUCAUCACAUUUUCUAACGAUGAUUAUAAAGCGCCUGACCCUGACCAAGACGACUUGAUGGUCAUCUCAAUCCAGCUAGCCGACUAUGCUAUAAGCAAGAUUUUGGUCAACCAAGGCAGACAAGAAGAAGAAGGAGUUGUGCUUACAACCUUCACGGCUUCCCCCGACCGAUUAGCAGAUUCCUCUUGCUCAACAAGUUCAACAGCAGCUUUGAAGAAAUUCUUCUUUAGAUUGUGGGAUGCCAUAAUCUCUGAAAGACAACAAAAAAUUUAGCUAGGUUAAAAUCAAGUCAAAAACAAACGACAAAAGGAAUGCCAUAUCGAACACCUCAGUACUGAGGUCCUCCCCACCAAGGCAAUUGAUUAUCUUUGAGGAAGGGAGCUGGCGAGGCAAGUCAUCAAGAACAUUGAGUGCCUCCUGCUCGGCCGGAGUCAUAUCUGACUGUAACCAGGAAGUCACCCAAGUAGGGUCUUCGGUCUAGUACAAAGAAAAUUUUGGUCACUCGUCUUCCCCAAAGAAUAGUAGAUGGCCAAACUCGGUUAAUUCUACCUUAAAAAAUUUAUCAUUGAAGCCCUUGAAUGAAAGAGAAUAAAGCUCAAAUAAGGCUUUCCCUUGCUCGAAGAUCGGGGCGACCCAACCGCGUUUCGGAAUAUGUCAGGUCCAAAAGUAGUGAAGAAAAAGAGCGCGGGUGUAGGUGUGAGGUCCAACACUUAGCAAACGAUGGCGAAGGCCUGAAUAUACCCCUAGUUAUUUGGAUGCAGUUGGAAUGGGGCAAUAUUUAGAGUACGGAGGACGUCCAUUUGAAAAGAGCUAAACGACAGAUACACAAACAUCUCAUGGAACAUAUAAGCGUAAGCGAAGAAGAAGUCACUCUUACUCCCUCCUUUUCCAUGAAACACACGGUCAUUCUCCUCACGGGCCAUUAACCUAAAUAGAGGACCAAAAUCCAUUGACCGCAACACAUAGUUACAAUCAGUCCAGUCCGCCAACUGACUCAUGUCAUGAGACGCUUCAAAAGUAGGUGGAGAACUCACUCACAUCAUGAGACGCUCAGUCGUAGCCCGCGACAAUGGGCAAAGCUCCCACCUGCUUGUUCUCCUCCUUAGCACCCUCCAUAAUCACCCCUCCAUAGACAAAGGUCCACUGACCGUUGAACAUAACCUCUUUAUUUUCUUCUACAAUGGAUUCAUUACCAUCACAACCACCAUCCCGCUCGGUUGACUCCAUGAAGGAGGAAGAAGACUCCGAGCCCACCGAGAAUGAGACCCCAUCAUUGCCCCACCCGCCCCUUCCCGAAGACUCCUCAGACGAAGAGAGGUUCAUGGUAGCCAUUUAUUACAUGAAUUAAAAAAAAGACAAAUAACACUUUCAAACGUUGGAUGAAAAUACGUGAAAAUUAUACAAUGGGUCUUUCCUAUUUAUAGGCAGCAAAUGGAGGACCCAAAGAUCGUCCUAACUGUUGGAUGUAAAGAAAUCCAACGGUCUGAUUCAAAGACUCCAUAACUUCCAUCCAGCAUGAGAAACGAAAAAUCACAUCCAACGGUUAAGAACAGCUGACCUUGCACAUUCCUAUCAACGCAUGAAAUAGAACCAAACGCCAAUGGUAACAAUUUCAAAAUCAAGGCAACACCCCACCCAAACCAUGCACGCUCACCAAACAGUUAGUAAAGUCCCUUGCACAUUCCUAUCAACGCAUGAAAUAGAACCAAACGCCAAUGGUAACAAUUUCAAAAUCAAGGCAACACCCCACCCAAACCAUGCACGCUCACCAAACAGUUAGUAAAGUCCCUUGCCAAACAUGUUCGUCUCGAACUUGGGAGUCUGUGUACUGUAUGAACCGACCGAUAUACGUAUACCGGUAGACCACACGAUUAAUCACCUUUAGAAACGCAUUACAACCAAAUUAAACGAACGGUCACUUACAACACUCAUCGUCGUUAGGUAUAAAGACUUUAGAUUAACAAAGUAAAAACAUACUUAAACAAUGUUAGGCUUACACUUAUCCAAAGAUAAAGACAUAGGUGAUUACAUUUGGCAUUUGAGACUUAAUUAUAACCAUUCGAUAAGACUAACUUGAAUAUCAAGAGUACAUUUCUCCUCAGAAUUUUGAGGAGAAUAACAACAUAUUAUAAGAAAGUUAAAGAGUUAAUUGAAGGCAACAAACUAGAUUAGUAUAUAUGGAAACACAUUAUUUAAAUUGUCACUCAAAACAUAUCUUAAUUACGUUUCCUCACUUCCGCAUCAAUUUAGUUUUUUUAUCAAUUUUUGUUUAAAUAUUUAGUCGAAACAUAUUCAAAAGUUACACAUUCAAGAUGAAAAGGAAAUAAUUUAAAAAAUAACCAAGAUAGUAAAAUAAAAUUUAUUGUGGAUAUGGAAUUGCUUGAUUUGAUUUUAACCCACAAAUAACACCAAUUCAAUCAAAUCCAAGUUAGUGUAAUGAGUGGAUUUGAUGAAACCUCAAUCACAACAUUGUCCAUAAUAAGAACACGAGAAAGAAACUAAAAUUUAAAAAGCACAGCAAAACUUCUUGCCGGGGAGGAAGAAAUGACAAACUUUGGUAUUUUCUCAUUGAAAUGGUAGACAAUAAUACAACAACGGUGUAACAUUGGUACAAUAAAGAUAUGUCUGUCACUAUUUGCUGCACGAGGACCUUCAAACUACUUAAUUCAUACAGAAUAUCUUUCCAUUAUGCCCCAAGAGAAAAGAAGAAACAUAUGUACAAGGGUUGAGCUUUUAUGGAACCCCUCCAGAGGGUCUCACUGUUUUGUGAAAGGCCGUGUAUAACAUUUGUGAAGGGAUAAAUCCUGAACUAUUGAGCAUAUAUGUAAUAGGCCAAGUCAAAUAAAAGCCGCAUCUUUCUGUUGUUAGUUUUCAAAUUUGUAUCAAUUGUGGGAUAAGCUUCAAAAGGAAAGAUAAAUCCUGCUGUGAAAAUUGUGGAUUUGAGUUCCCCUGCACCGUCACACUCCCCUCCGUAAAACCCUCCCCAUCACCACCCUUUUUUGGCUUUAUCAUAUCUGCAACUGCUUCGGUUAUUUCUUUAACCAGAUCCACAAUUACUCCAUCAAUUCCCAUUAGAUGUUGCAUGUAAACUGCCUCAGGAACAUUGCUGCAAUGUCAAAUAUAAUCAUGAGCCAAAAUGUUACACCAAACACAUUCUUUUCUCAAGCAAUUAACAAAGGAAAGAGAGUACUAAAAACAAGCAUACUUUAAUUUGCCGUAAGAAAGGAGGCAGAGCUUGGACUCCUUUAUCUUGGUUACUGUAGAAGGAUCUCUAAAAAUCCCUUUAAUUUCUGAGACAAUUCCUUCCAAUCCAUUCUCAACAGAGAGCUUCAUGGCCUCCUCCAGUGAGUUUCUUCUCACAUCUUCAUAGAUUUCACAUCCUCCAUUUGUCAAGAAAAAGACCUGGUUGUUCCCAACAAAUUAACCACAACAUCAGAUCCAGUUAAAGAAAUAAAAUAAUUUCUCAGAACUAAAAAGGCUUAAAGAACUAACAGGGUAGUUGCUUUGCAAUUUCCGGAUGAGCAAGGCUGCAUCUGGCUGGAAUGUUGAGAAGAUAAUAGGUCUAUCCUUGGCGUAUUCAAACACAACCUGCACCCCACAAAUACCAAAGACAAUGAGAGAUCCAAGUCACCACUUUUGAAAUGUAAAACUAAAACAAAACACUCAGUGUCCCCCAUAAACACAUUUUAGGCUUAAAAUAGACUCUCUUAGCGUACCUUUAAGAUGGUUUGAAGGACAUGGACGAGAUAAUCUUGCUCAUAGACAAUGUGAUCAUCGAACUUCAACUCAAUAUUAAAACCAAUAGCGGGUUCCACCUUCACAAAAGCCUCUUGGAGAGUGCAAAGUGAGUCAUCUUGUUCAACAUCCCAUGGCAUUAUCUUCCCAUCUUUUUUCCUUAGCAAAACCUUUCCCUCAUUGCCAUGCUCUCUCUGAGGCCCAUAAGAAAGAAACUCUGAGAGACUCAGCUCUGUGAUCCUCCUUCCAGUUACAGCACCCUGCAAAACACAUUAAUUUCAACGUAACAAACCCAAAAAACUCGACCCAUUGAAAAGAAAAAGAAAGAAAUCAUCAAAGCUAAGCAAAAACAAAAAAACUCACAUUCUCCUCCGAGAAGAUGAAAUCGUCGUGGAAAAUGACGGGGCAAUCAUCUCUCGUCACCUACAAAAAACGUGCAUUUUUUAAUUCGUUUUCUUUUUUUUUUCUAUAAAAAAUGCAACGCGUCAAACAAAAACAAACAAGCAGCCAAUCAGUACCGAACAGACGGUCAAAAAAGGGCCGAGAAAGGCAAAUUAUUUACAGAAAAGCCAUCGGGGUAAAAUAGGAAAAGAAGAAAAGUAGUUGUUGCGAAACACAAGAAGCGAAAACGGUGCGCGCGGUGGAACAUUAAAUUAUUGCAUUGAGUGCAAAAGCAGAAAGAGGAAAAUAAAAGAAAAGGUCACCUGAACGUCAAAUUCUAUGAAAUCGAGAGGAAAAGUAGAGGCGGCGUUGAAGGACAUAAUGGUAUUUUCCUUUAUGGCUCUCAUUCUUCGAUCCGAAGAUUGCAGAACGUUCAUGCCGUUACCCCUGUGGCCGAUGACGACGAACUUGGGCAUCUUGAAGCCACUCCGAGCAAUCUCGACCCCUGCAUUAACGAUUAAAAGAAUGUUAGGAAGAAAAGAUGGGAAGAGGAAGAAGAGAAGGAAAGAGAUGGAAAGAACCGUUGGGGAAGCGGGAGGAGCAGAGGGCGAGAGAGGCAUUCUCGGGGACGUGGUCAAGGGAAGGGACGUCGGUGACAUGGACGGCCUUGAGAGCCAUUUGGGUGGAAGGAAAGAGAGAAAGGAGGAAGGGGAAAGGGAGGUGGUGAUGAGGAGGGCACCGGAUGGUUUGUGGGUGAUGGUGGUGGUGGUGAAGAACAAGGCAUGGUUUGGUCCGCUAUUUAUUGCUUCCACCUACGCCAAAUUCACCCUCCAACGGAUCUCCCCACGAAUAUUCCCCUCCCAUCUAUAUGCUUGGGAUAUUCCCUUGUCAUUUUCCACCCUUUCAAUUUCAACCUACACUUUUUCUUUUUCUAUAUCUAUAUCUUCAACAAAAUAUGUCAUUAUAGAUUUUUUACUAAUUUAUUGGACUAGAUUUUCGUCUAAUAUAUUAAUAAUAAUACCAUAUUUAAAUAAAAUAUUUAUAUAUAUCAUCCAAAUAAGUUCAAAAUAAUAACUGAAAAUUUUGAAACCGAACAAUUUUUUUUUAUACAAAAUUUAAAAACAAACACCUUUUCAACCAUUUAAACCACUAAAACAACCAACAAUUGUUUUAUCUCUUACUACAACUUCCAAAAAUAAAGCAAUUGACCAUGAAUACCUUUCAAUUCCAACAGACUUUGAAGCUAGCAUAAAAAAAUCUUGAAACAAUAUCGGAUAACUAGGAAUUGGUUCGAUCAAUUUCCAGCACAAACUGUUCUAGACACCAAAAAUGGAAGCCCUAUGACCAUUUUAAGAGGAAAAGCUAUACAUCUUUUAAUUGGAUGAUUUUAUUUAUUUUUUAAAUAAAAAAAGUAAUUCUUUAUUUAUGUAAUAAAAUAAAUUAUUAAAUAUUGUUUGUUUAAAAAAAAUAAAUUUCUAAAAUAACACUUGCGUAAAAUUAUAUAUAUUUUGUAGUGAUUGGAAACAAUGCUGUGGUGGUGGCGGGUGAGAAGUGGCUGGGUGACAGCUGGGGUAUUAUGUUAUAGUCGUUGACCUGUGACAAGGCAAACUACAAGGUUUUUGAAGAAAAUCUGUGGUGGGAUCGUCCGAACAUUGCGGACUACGGUAUUUUAUAAGAUAGAGGAUGAAUGAAGAAACAUAAUUGAUCGGGUAUGACGUGGUGACACAACAGCAUGUAGAUAGAUAGAGAAAGGUGGGUGGUUAUAAUUGGAUAAGACUACAAAAAGGAUUUAGGAAUGACUCAUGGCUGCCUUUGCCAAACUAUUAAUUUUAUUUAAUGAUAAAAAUUGAUGUUGUCUUUGUACUUUUAGGAAAACAAACAAAAAGUUAAAAUACGGUGGAAACAAUUUGAUAAAAAAAUUGGAAUUUUUUUUGAAAAUAAUGUAUUUUAAUUAGUUUGAUAUAAAAUAGAAACAUUAGGAAAUAUCACAUUCUAUGUUUUUAAUCUUUACGAAAAUAUUUAUUAGUAUAAUUACGUGGUACAAGUAAAAAUCUUCUAGAUAAACUAGAAUUCUCUAUAAGUUGAAUUGCUGUCUGAUUGAGGAGAAGCGGAUUGAGCUUCAAGAAAAAGGAAAAGUAGAGAAAGAUUCAUGUACAAAAUAAAGUUAAUAAAAAAGUAUAAAUAGUAUAAGUGUGAAUAGGAGAUAUACCUGGAUCAAUAGACACACAUUAAAUCGAUUAAUAUUUCAUAUAUGAUAAUAAGAUCAAGAGAUAAUAUGAAUAAAUUUGGAUUGGACUCAAAUAAACCUUUAUUAUAAAAGUUAUUGGGUUUGGACUUAUUUAGUUUUAAAUAUAUAAUUUUGGUUUAAUAAAUUUUAAAUGAUUUUUAUUUUUAUAAAAUUAAAGUAUACAUGAGAGAGUCCGUGUAUAUAUUAAUCUCACAUGACAUUAAAAUCGAGUUUUAUAUUAAAAGUUUUAAAUGUACAAAGGUGAACUUCAGGGAAGACAAAGUAAAAAAAAUUAAAAAUUUUAAGUGGAUCUCCCUUUAAUUUAAAAAUGCAAAUGAGAUUGGGAAAAAGAAUCGAAGAUCCGUAUUAUUAGAUUUGUGUGAGAAAAAAAAAAUCGCAUUCUUUCGUUCAAAAUUUUCUUAAAAAAACUGAAUUUAUAUGUGAUAGUAGCUCAUCCUCUGCAAUUAUAAAAAUAAAAUAGACUAAAUUCUUAUUACAAAGCAAGAGAGGAGGAAAAGAUCUAAGAGUUUUUAUAUCUUGGUAUGCAUUUAGCUACAGUAUGAGCUCCAGAUUUAACUGAUAACAUAGUCCAUGUAAUUUAAUUUGGACAAUGAAUGAAAAGUGACAAUGACUUCCAGAUAUCCAUGAUUUAAAUUACAAUGGAAAAAUAGAAGAAGAAAUGAGGAAGAAUGUGAGGGACUGGGACUAAUUAAUAUAUUAAAUAUUUUACAUCUAACUCUCUUAAUGUAUACACUUCUUCUGAACUUUAUCUGAGAUGAACAGUUAUAGAGAUGAACAGUCAGAGAGGGUGUUGAAAGAGAGAGCUCCCAAUGCAAUUCACAUCCUCCGCUUCAUGCUCUACCAUAUCACUCUCAAAUGGCUGCCAUGCAAUGUGCUCUAACUUCUCUUAUGGACUCUCAAAACAAACCAUAUGCCUUCAACAAAUCAACAUUAGAAUUACCUUUCCAGGACGCUUCUUCUUCUUCCAGCAACAAUGAGAAAUUCUCUUCAAAAUCCAAAAAGUACUCCUCUAAUUUACACCUCACCAUCUUUCAGCCAUGGGAAAUCAUACACCCCAAGUCCCAACUCGAAUUCCCAUGCAUCUCAACAACAAUCCUCUUUCUCUCUAAUAAAGAACGAAGAAAGAAAGAACGAGCGAUUUUUUUCCCUCACACAAACCUUAUAAUACGGAUUCUUAAUUUUUUAAUGCCAUGUAUGAUUAAUGUAUACAUUGAUCAUAUCACGUAAGCGAAACUUAAACGAUCUUUUGUUCAAUUUGACGGCAGGCUCUAAUUACUUCAAUUUUUAAAAAAUAAGGAUCUAAUUAAGAUGGCAUAAAAAAAAAGGGACUUAUUUGACAUUUUGGACCAAAAUAGGAACAAACCGAGACAUUAAACCUAUAGUCUUUCAUAAUUAUUCUUUUCCAUUUGUUAUUUAAAAAACGUUAAAAUUAGAAAAUGUUAAUUUAUAUAACAAAGAUAAUAAAGAAUUUUAAAUGGAAAUAAUUAUAAUUUUAAAGCAUAAAAUUUAAUAAAUCUAUACUUAUAUAUAUAUAUAUAUAUAUAUAUAUAUAUAUAUAUAUAUAUAUAUAUAUAUAUAUAUAUAUAUAUAUAUAUAUUAUGGGUUUGUUAACGUGCGUAUGCCUCUUUUCAGUUGGUACAUUUUAACAAUGUGUACCGGAUUAUAGUAGACAAAAAUAUCAUCAUAUAUUAUGGAUUCUAAGUUUUAAAGUCAAGGAUAUUUAAAUAAUUUUCAUUCUGAAAACUAAAAAAAAAAAAGAAAUCCCCAAACCCUUACUCACCUCUCCCAUUCCUAUCAAUUCUUUCUGUUUCAUUUCUCUCACUCCAACUUUUUCUCUGUCAUUUUUACUAUAGCCCCAAUUAAAAAAAAUUAGAAAAACUUGCUGUUAAGAAAUUUCUUACAAAAAAAUGAUUUUAUAAUGAGUUUUCAUUUUAUAACUUUUGUCUUAUCUAAUUUUCACAAGCAUAAUGACAUAUGAAGGAAUUGGUAAUUCGCCUGAAAAAAAAAAUAAAAAACACUCGCUAUUAAACAAUUUCUUACAAAAAAUGAUUUUAUAAUGAGUUUUCAUUUUAUAAUUUUUGUCUUAUCUAAUUUUAUUUAAUUUUCACAAGCAUAAUGACAUCAGAAGGAAUUAGUAAUUGGCCUGAAGAUUUUUUAAGAAAUGACGAUUCAACAUCUGCAGAUGAUGAAAUUAGAGAUGUUAGUGAAGAUGAUGAAAUUGAAGAGAUCUUGAAUGAACCUUUGCCUGAAAGCGAAUAUGCCAAUGACUCAACUCUUUACAAAGGUAAAUUGUUUAAGGAUGAGUAUUUCUAAUUUUUUUUUCAAUUGGAUCUACCAUAGGAUGAUAGAGAAACGGUUGGAGUGAGAGAGAUGAAAGAGAAAGGAUUGAGAGGAAUGAGAGAGGUGAGUAAGGGUUUGGGUUUUUUUUUUNUUUUGUUUUGAGAAUGAAAAUUAUUUAAAUAUCCUUGACUUUAAAACUUAGAAUCUUAAUAUAUGAGGGUAUUUUUGUCUACUAUAAUCCGGUACACAUUGUUAAAAUGUACCAACUGAAAAAUAGGCGUACAUAUAUAUAUAUAUAUAUAUAUAUAUAUAUAUAUAUAUAUAUAUAUAUAUAUAUAUAUAUAUAUAUAUAUAUAUACAAACACACACACACAUACGGGGUUUGUUAACAUACGUAAGCUAUAUUUUUACAGUUAAUACAUUUUAGCAAAGUAUACCGAGUUUUAGUAGACAAAAAUACCCUUAUACAUUAUGGAUUCUAAGUUUUAAGGUCAAAGAUAUUUGAAUAAUUUUCGUUCUUAAAACUAGAAAGAAAAACAAGAAACCUGCAAACCCUUAGUCACCCUUCUCUCAUCCCUCAUUCCUCUCAACCAUUUCUCUUUUAUCACUCUCUGUAACCUUUUCUCUGUCAUCCCUAUAAUAGCCCCAACUGAAAAAAAAAAAAUCAGAAACACUCGCAUAACCCUAAUCCACCUUCCUCAUUUAUCCAAUUUGUUUCUCUCUCAUCUUCACCUCUCUCGUCCACACACAGUAACUCGCGACAUUGCAAUUUGUAGUUCUUGCUCUGUUCGUUCAUUUGUUUCCACUUUAAUAACAAAAUAAUUGAUGAUGUUGAUGUUGAUUUUUGAUUGAAGGGUUGUUAUAUUUUUUUCCCUUAUGAUUAUUAUUAAAUUUUGUUUUUAAAUUUUAGAAUUAGUAGUUUAUCUAUAGGGAGAUUUGAUAUUUUGACUAUUAAGUUGUCCGAAAAUAUUUUUCAGAAGAGAAAAAUAGUUACGUGGAAAGGCGAUUCCCGAAAGGGUAAGUCAUUGUCCAAAAAAUGGAUUUCUGAAGUCAGUUCUUAAAAAUAAUUCUAAAAACAUAUUUUGCGCUGAAAGCAAUACUUUGGAAUAUACUUUUCACCUUCCUGCAUAUAACCAACGUCAAAACACAACAAAAAAUGAAGCUCAUGUACAUCGUACUAAAUGAUUUAACAGGAAAAAAUUAUUGAAGAGAGUUAUGAACAUAAAAGAAUUUUGUUGUUGUCCACUAGACUUUUCACUCAAUUCUGGUUGUGUAAUAUUGUUCAUCACUCCUGAUGUCCACUAGACAAACUCGUCUAGGUACCGCUUAAUCCAACCAAGUUAAGCCUUAAGUGUUUGAAUUAUCUUCAAAAUAUGCAAUCAAUCAAAUCACCUACAAGUCAUUAGAUGAUUACUCUCAUAGUGAGGAUUUGCUUACAAUAUAAUUCAAUCUAAUAGACUUUUGAAAUUUUCUUUUUUCUUACAAGUGUAACUUUCUAACUCUAAACAACUCUGAGAGUAUUCUUGAUCUUUCAAUGAGGAUGAUUUUUCUUUAUAUUCCUUAUGUGUCCAUCCUUUUUUCCUUCUUAACCAGAUAUCUUCUCUUUAUAAGCGUUUUUUGAGAAUUUAGUCGUUAGAUGAUGCUUGUCUUUGAAUUUUAGCUCUUUGUAGCCUGCCUUUAUCAUAGGUGGUUGUCAUAGGUUGAGGUCUACUUGUCAAAGUAGGCUUACUUUUUUAGUACUUUAUCAAAAGUAGGUUGUACGAAUUCUUUGGCUCGACUUUUGAUAAGAAGGUCAUUCCAUGAAUGUCUUCUUUGUCUCUAACUUGUAUUUGAUAGAGAAGGUGGAUGCUUGACUUAGGUAAUUUGCAUAAAGUAGAGUAGAUAUUCAUACAAGCAUAUAUGUCUGUUUUCCUUUCACUUUUGCUAUUUUGAGACAUUGUGUUUUUUAAUGCGCGUUUAGAACAACUAUAAGUAUUUUAAAAUUUCCUUGCUCAAGCAGCAUUUGGUUGUUUAAGCAUUCUAGUAGAGAUACCUAGUAGAUCAUGAGAGUUUCAUCAUUGGAUGAAAACUUCGUUUAGCACAUGAUAUCGUUUAGCCUAUGCAAGGCUUUUCAUAAUAGUGCCUUGUUUAAUAAAUACUCGUUUGAUUUAAGAGCGCAUUUAGUGAGAUAUCUUUCAACAUCAAUUUUUGGAACAAUGAUUGUAUCUUUUAGCACAUUUACCAAAAACAUCAUUUUAUAUAUAUCAUAGUGAGAUCUUGUUUAGCUUUGUUUAGCAAAGUAUAGCACAAAUGUGUUUAACAAGACUCUCAUAUAGCUCAAUGACGCAUUUAGUAGUGAAAUCGUUUAGUAGUGCAUCUACUUAUGUAUUAGUGCAUUUAUUAAAGUUUUUUCUUUCAUGGAAAGUCUUUUUAUGUAGCGAUAUGAGUUUUACAAAGGUAAUACUUUGUUAAUCAUCUAUUUCGGUCAUAUUCUUAUUUACUAAUUCUCAAGUCAUGUGAAGAUGCUAAACAAUCUUGAUCUUAUCUUAGCAAACUUCCUUUCUUCUUGUAGUACUGAUUUAUUGUGUAGCACUAUCGUUUUGUAUUAUGUCUCUUCUUAGGAAUGAAUUGUUUUCUUUUAGGAUGAAGAUAUAUUCUUUUAUUUUACGAAUAUUUUAUUUGCAAUGCGUGAUUACUUGAUAGAUUCUUGCACUCAAUGUUUUGUCAGUUUUACUUGGACACUUCUUAUGCUUAUUGCUUUGUAAUUGUAUAUUUGUAGGCAUACUGUAUGUAGGCUUCUUCUAUGUUUCUAUGUUAUUUCAGCUUAUCUCUUUUGUUGUUUAACAACUUAUGUAACUUUAGAUGUAACCUUGAUUUUUACUUUGAUUUGGCUUGACAAUAUAGAUGCUUCUAACCUUAGACGUUUUUCUUUUGGACAUCUUUUUUCCGCUAAAUGGAUAACUAGAUGGUUUGCAAAGUCCACUUUCUAGUGUUUAGAUGAUUUUUCUUUUACAAUUAUCAGAUAAUGUCAUCGAUAAAUAUAUCAUCCAUAAAUAUCAUCCAUAAAUAUAAUGAAUAAUUGUACUUAAUUUAUCUAUCAUUCUAAAAAUAACUUUUUUUUCUAAUCGACUUAAUGAGUCCACUACUAAAUUUAUUAUUAUAUAUUAUUUAAUAAUAUUAUCUUGAAAAUAUUUUAUCAAGAUAAUUUUAUGAAAUAUUAAUUAAAAAACAAUAAACAUUUAUAACAUUUAUAAGAAAGUGUGAUAUUUGAGAAAAACAUAAUAUAAUAUUUAAAAUAAAAGACAACUUAUUAGAAGAAAUGAGAAGAACAGGGAUGGAACUAAAGGUUAAUAAAUAAAAUUGAUGUUUUUCUAUUUUUACAAUUAAUUAUUUUUAGAAUAAAAGUUGUGUAUGGAAUUAAAAAUUCUAUACAAUAAUUUGUUAAGAGAUAAAAUAUGGUCGUAGAGGAUUAAUAAUUUAUUUAUUAAUUUUUCUAUUACUUUUGAUAGUUAACCAUGGAUGAUUGUUAUAGUUUUUUAGAACAUUAGUUACUUUCCUUAGUUAGUUUUAAUUUUUUUUUUCUACAAAUAGUUGAGUAAAUUAUUUUUCUAUACCAUAUGUUACGGAUGUUUCUUUAAUUAGUUUUAUACUUUCUAGCAAAUAAUUAAACACAAUUAUUAUCUUACGCAUGAAUGUGAAACAUGAUAUAAAUGUGUAAAAUUAACUUAUGAAAUCUUAUGAAAUAUAUGUUAAUGAAGUUGAAUCUCAUUUUCAAUUAAAAGGAAAACAAACUGAAAGAAAGACAACACCAAUUUCAUUCAUGUAUUUAUGAGGUGUCAAAGUUUCAUUUUAACAUUUUGUCUUUUCACAUAAUAUUAAUUGAAAAAAAAAAGUAAUGAAAAGGUGGAGAAAAAAAUGUAUGAUUUUAGUAUGUCUUCCGUUGUAGCCAAAAAACUGCUCACUGAAAGGAAUUAAAAAAUAGAUUUGAAUAGGAGUCUGUCAGACAACCCUGCAACCAUCCCCAGCUUGUAAAGUCAGGGAACGAUCCUCUACAGCUGGUGAUGGGUCUCGUCCAGAAACGAAGCCCACACUGCCGUUAAUCACGCUCUGAUCACAGGGUAAUAAUUCAUCCACCAGACUUCAGUUCCUGUCUCCUUAGAACUUAAGGAUACAGAGGUACGAACCUAUAGAACAGAUCCUGUUCAAGUAAGGUCGU